rnacentral:lncRNA from 1 species
AAGACCCUCAACUGUGGGCUGAGGUUCUGGCGGGCUCACCCAUUUUGGGUUCAUCUAGGUUUUUCCUCCUUGACAACACUGUAAGCAUGCUCUAGUCAAGUCACUUCUCUCUGUGGCUGUUUCCUCAUUUUUCCAAUGAGGCACUUGGGCUAUUUGACAUCAAAAUCCUUCUCCAGCUUCAAGGCCUAUCAUCCUAUAAUUCUCUUGCCAUUAUGAUCUGAAAUAAAUUGUGUUUACGACAGAGACCAGGCCAUGGGCAAAGUGAUAUUUGCACAGGAAGGAGAAACAUGGUUCGCCAACUCAGUGCACUGGCCUGGUCCUGGCCCCAUGCACUCCCUGCAGGUAAGACCAAGAUGAGGCAGGCAUUUGAGGGACAAAACAUUUGAGGUGUUGCUUGGGCAGCUGGUGGCAAGGUGAAAACAAUAGUAACCAUUUCUUCCAGGACUCCUGAAAACCCGGCAAGUGGAGACUGAAACCUGGUACUCUCAAUUUGGUUUCAAAUCCUGGCCCUGCCUUCCUAUAUGACCCUGGUCAAGUUAAUUUGACACUCUAGGUCCAUUUCCUAUCUAUAAUAUAGGGGGCUUGGCUUAGGUGAUCUUAACGUCCUUCCCAUCGCCCCCUUGUUCAACUCACUCAAAUACCUCACUUGCUUCUGUCUCAUUCCCCAAGGAUUCAUGCUGAGAAACUCACCCAACCAGUUGGCCUAGGAGAAGAAGAGAGAAGGAUUGUUUGCCAUUGUUUGCCAGUCCCUCCUGCUACCAGAGCCAGCUCCUGCUGGUUCCAGCACAUCUCAAGAUGCCAAAGAAGAGGCCUUCCUGGAUCCAAGAUGGCAGU